AUUGAACGCUGGCGGCAGGCCUAACACAUGCAAGUCGAACGAGUGGCGGACGGGUGAGUAACGUCUGGGAAACCGCCUGAUGGAGGGGGAUAACUACUGGAACCGGUAGCUAAUACCGCAUACCAUCAGAUGCGCCCAGAUAGGAUUAGCUUGUUGGUGGGGAAACGGCUCACCAAGGCGACGAGCCCUAGCUGAUCUGAGAGGAUGCCGAGCCACACUGGGACUGAGACACGGUCCAGACGCCUACGGUAGGCAGAAGUGGGGAAUAUUGCACAAUGGGCGCAAGCCUGAUGCAGCCAUGCCGCGAGUAUGAAGAGGGCCUUCGGGUUGUAAAGUACUUUCAGCGGGGAAGCGUUACCCGAAGAAGAAGCACCGGCUAACUCCGUGCCAGCAGCCGCGGUAAUUC
rnacentral:rRNA from 1 species